rnacentral:lncRNA from 1 species
AAACGGGGACUUGGGAGCGCGCGCUGCCCCUCACUUGGCUGCAACUGGACCCAGAACUAGGGAAGAGGCCAGGGACAGAUUUUUUUUUUUUAUUUUUAUUUUUUUUGCCGAGGGACGUUUCAAAAUUUUGCACGGCCAGGGUGACAAAAAGAGGAUUUAAGAGCCACAAGCGGUCCGCACAUGACCCAGACUUCGUUCCUGUGCGGCUUCCAGAGGUGUUCAUGCAGAAGACUGGAUGCAGGACCCUUGGUGGCACCAGUGUGCAGAUGAGCAGAUAGUGACUGAUUGCCACUGGGGCUAUAACAAAAUAUAAUAAACUGGGUACCUUAGAAGCAACGGAAAUUGAUUUCUCAUCGUUCUAGAAGCUAGGAAGUUCACGAUCAAGGUAGCAGCAGAGUUGGUGCCUGCUCUGGAGGCUGGAAAUCCAACAACAGAGUGCCAGCAUGAUCAGAUCUUUACCAUGCUGGAUUGGAAGAGAAAAGACCAUCACUAAAGCAAAUGGAUCAAAUGGAGUUAUAAAUCAACUCUGUACUCUACAGGAUUGACUCAACUGCAGACAUCUCCAAUACACUCCCUCAUGGCUUUAUUUUUUCUGCUUAUGUGGAAAAAUAACAGUAAAUACAGUUAACUAUCCCAAGACAGAAGAGUAUUAUUAAAAAAGAAUACAACGUUAUUGAUUUUUCAAGACAUAAUCAGAUAUUUUUAAACUCUGAUUUAAUAAAACAUAAUGUAAUUUC